rnacentral:rRNA from 1 species
UACAGAGGUCCCAAGCGUUGUUCGGAUUCAUUGGGCGUAAAGGGUGCGUAGGCGGCGCGGUAAGUCGGGUGUGAAAUCUCGGGGCUUAACUCCGAAACUGCAUUCGAUACUGCCGUGCUUGAGGACUGGAGAGGAGACUGGAAUUUACGGUGUAGCGGUGAAAUGCGUAGAUAUCGUAAGGAAGACCAGUGGCGAAGGCGGGUCUCCUGGACAGUUCCUGACGCUGAGGCACGAAGGCCAGGGAGCAAACGGG